GCGAGCGGCAACCACGCGCCCUGUAUUUCUUGUUGAGAUAACAACAAUCAUCAUCAUCGCUACAUCAUCAUUAUUGCUGCAUGAUCAUCAUUUUCAUCAUCGCUUCAUCAUCACCGCUGCAUGAUCAUUAUCAUCAUCGCUGCAUGAUCAUCAUCAUCAUCAUCGCUGCAUCGUCAUCAUCAUCACUGCAUCAUGAUCACCAUCGUUGCAUGAUCACCAUCGCAUUGAGGAACUGAGCGUCAGCGAAAGGCACCGUGGAGAUGGAGCCGAGGAAUCGCCCUGAACCUGACGACGUCGAGACGACUCGCGCUGCAGCAGACACGACGGACGAAUUCCUCCAGCGCUUCGGACUGCGCCUGCAAGCGCGCAGACCCAGCCACGUGGCGCUGAUGGCGACCGCGGGGUCCAAGCGCGACUCGCGACGAUACGCAGGCGAC